rnacentral:rRNA from 1 species
AUUGAACGCUGGCGGCAGGCUUAACACAUGCAAGUCGAGCGGGGGAAGGUAGCUUGCUACCGGACCUAGCGGCGGACGGGUGAGUAAUGCUUAGGAAUCUGCCUAUUAGUGGGGGACAACAUCUCGAAAGGGAUGCUAAUACCGCAUACGUCCUACGGGAGAAAGCAGGGGAUCUUCGGAACUUGCGCUAAUAGAUGAGCCUAAGUCGGAUUAGCUAGUUGGUGGGGUAAAGGCCUACCAAGGCGACGAUCUGUAGCGGGUCUGAGAGGAUGAUCCGCCACACUGGGACUGAGACACGGCCCAGACUCCUACGGGAGGCAGCAGUGGGGAAUAUUGGACAAUGGGGGGAACCCUGAUCCAGCCAUGCCGCGUGUGUGAAGAAGGCCUUAUGGUUGUAAAGCACUUUAAGCGAGGAGGAGGCUACUUUAGUUAAUACCUAGAGAUAGUGGACGUUACUCGCAGAAUAAGCACCGGCUAACUCUGUGCCAGCCGCCGCAGUAACAC